AGCCUCUUUUUUAUUCCAGUUUCCUUCUCUCUUUCCCCAUUGCCUGAGGUACUUGAGAGGUUCAGACUUCCCAGAACACCUGAUGAAAAGAUUUCCCUCUAAUGUACAACCCUCCCUUUUCAUUUUUAAUUAUUAUGGAAUUUAGGCUUUUCCCUUAGCCAAUCCCAUUUAUCAGCAAACCUACAGUUUGCUUGUAAAGCCAAAUAUCUUUUUUCCAUUAUCACCCACUGGAAUCCUCCCCACUGGUUCUUUUACCUCUCCGUGCUGGUUUUAUCUGCCAGCAGACGCACAGCUGGUUUGUGGGGACAAAGCCCUCAUUGCUCUCAACUCCAAGCUCUGGCUCACAGGCCCAAAGGCCCGCGAGGUCCCCGCGCUCCGACCCCACCGCGCAGCGCCGCCAUCGCUGUGAGGGCGGGGCCGGCCUCGCCUCAGCCAGCACCCGCGUGACGUCAUCCGCAGCGACCAACGUCAUCCGCAGCGCCCGACGUCACGCACCGCGCACGCGCGCUGCCGGUAACGGCCGUCCCGGCGCGUCUCCAGCCAGCCCCGCUCCCGCCGCGGCGGGAUACGGAGAGCGCACAGGGACAAUCCGAGCCCGUUAUGCGUUGCCGUACGGGAGCCCAGUGGGGACAUGUCAGUCUAAUGGCGAUCGUCGCUUGUUGCCAUGGCAGCGGGGCCCGCGGCCGUGGGGAGCCCCCAGUGUCGCCGUCCCCUCACGGGGACCCCUCAGUGCCGUUAUCCUCUCAAGGAGACCUCCCAGGACCGUUGGAAAACAUAACAGUUUUAAAGUUUUUGUGUAACUUUAGUCAAGGGGUUUUGUUUGCCUUUGCCCCGGGAAAAAGGAAUUUAAGUCUCUUUCUAGGCCAUUGUUCCACCAGGGUUGGAGACCUCUCCUCUGAAAAGACUGAUGAGAAAAUCAAGGACUGAAGAUCUCAUUAACAUCAGAAGGGAAGAAAUCCAGAUCCAAUAGGAGACCAAAUACUAAAAACUGCUUGGGACCAAUGAACACUGACCCAAUUCGCUCCUCUGGAUUUUGACUGUAUAAAAUAUCUGAAAAAUCUAGUUAAAAUCUAGUUAAAUCCUGUGUCACGAAAUGACUCUCUGCACACCCGGGCUGUGUGCAGAUGAGAUGAUUUCUGUGGUACAUCCUGGCCAGAACAACAUCCUGGCCAGAUAAUAAAGCAAUGCCUCGACUGUCCAACUUUAAAAAA